rnacentral:rRNA from 1 species
UCAGUUCGGAUCGGAGUCUGCAACCCGACUCCGUGAAGCUGGAUUCGCUAGUAAUCGCGCAUCAGCCAUGGCGCGGUGAAUACGUUCCCGGGCCUUGUACACACCGCCCGUCAAGCCAUGGGGAGCCGGGGGGUGCUUGAAGUGCGUCGCCGCAAGGCGCGCCCUAGAGCAAAACCGGUGACUGGGGCUAAGUCGUAACAAGGUAAC